rnacentral:rRNA from 1 species
UUUGCCUACGGGGCGCAGCAGUAGGGAAUCUUCCACAAUGGGCGCAAGCCUGAUGGAGCAACACCGCGUGAGUGAAGAAGGGUUUCGGCUCGUAAAACCCUGUUGUUAGAGAAGAAAGUGCGUGAGAGUAACUGUUCACGUUUCGACGGUAUCUAACCAGAAAGCCACGGCUAACUACGUGCCAGCAGCCGCGGUAAUACGUAGGUGGCAAGCGUUAUCCGGAUUUAUUGGGCGUAAAGGGAACGCAGGCGGUCUUUUAAGUCUGAUGUGAAAGCCUUCGGCUUAACCGGAGUAGUGCAUUGGAA